AAUGGGUUUAACAGAACUACGUUUUUCCCUUCUCUCUUUUUUCUUCUUUGUUUUGACAGAUGGCUGUCUGGAAGAGGAAAAAGGGAGUUCAUCUGGAGUUUUGUUUAAUGCCAAAAUACGAUGAAUGUUGGCUGUGGACAUCUUGUGAUUUUUCUCACAUGGAGGAAGACCUUCGGGAGCAAGGUUCAUCAUGGAAAAAAGUUAAAAGGUCAAAUGAGAAGACAAGAAAUUCAAGAUUUAGGGAGAAGUCAUUUUAGAGGUGGAAGGACUGAAAUGAUCAUGACCCAGACAAAAAAACAUCAAUAAGAUGUAUUUUUAAAAGGAAAGAAAACCACUUGGAAGCAGGAUGGCUUGUCCAAGCUUUGAUUCACUAUUUAAUUUUGCAGAAAGUCAGCUGUAUUACACUGGCCAGGAGGUCAUGCAAUAGCACAAGCUUUACUCUGCCCACAUGAAAAAAGAACAAAUAAACAAACAUAAACCAACA
rnacentral:lncRNA from 1 species